rnacentral:snoRNA from 1 species
AUCCCAUUAUGCUGGCGCUUUAUCACUAUCUCCUUGAAACGUUCCCAAGUCUCAAAAACUGUUUCACUGUUCUUUUGGCAGAAGUUGUGAAUUUCCCUUCUGAAUUU